UUUUUUUUUUUUUUGAGACAGAGUCUCACUCUGUCGCUGGGCUAGAGUGCAGUGGCAUGAUCUUGGCUCACUGUAAUCUCUGCCUCCCAGGUUCAAGUGAUUCUCCUGCCUCAGCCUCCCAAAUAGCUGGGACUACAGGCACACGCCAUCAUGCCCAGCUAAUUUUUGUACUUUUAAUAGAGACGGGGUUUUACCAUGUUGGCCGGGAUGGUCUCCAUCUCUUGAUCUCAUGCUCUGCCCGCCUCAGCCUCCCAAAGUGCUGGAAUUCAGGCGUGAGCCACCACGCCCGGCCUGUGCCCUAAUUCUUAAUCAAAGAAUGAAUCAAGUUCUCAUUUUUCCACAUAAUUCUUUUGAUAAAAUUGCAGCCGCAGUCAACCUCUUUCCCCCCAGGUUUGAGUUUUGUAGCCCGAUCAAAGAAGUCAUUUUCAAAAAUUCUCAAGCGCUCCAGAGCCUCCACAGGAGCCUCUUUUCCUCCUGGCAGGGUCUCCAUUCCCUUUGGGAAAUUCUGCCUCAUCCUCAUCCCUGCUGGUCCCAGUCCUUUAGUGUUCAUUGGUCUACAUCUGCCAGGUCCUCACUGUUGGACUUUGUGGGUGAUUCAAGUAAUGCUUCCCAUUGCAUAGCAGUAUAUACAGGCUCACCCACUGCCCCGUGGUGCACCCACCCCACAUCCACUGUGAGACCCCUAGUAGGGACCAGACAGUCCCUUAUGCCCAGUGGAGUGCAGGCAGCCGGCUCUGAGAGCCAACUGUGAAAUGUUCAGGAACUUUGCUAAUUGGUGGUUACGUCUUUGGCAGCUUGAAAUCAGCCAUGAUGGGAGUAUUUACACCUGGGAAAUUGGCAAUUGCUACAAAUCAGGGUUGUUGGGCUUUUUUUUUCCAAAAGAGUUUUUAAAAAUAUUUUUAACCAACACACCACUGCAGUCACACCCACCCCACAGCCCUCACUUUGAGAGGAGGCACUUGUUAUCAAAUUUGGGGCACCCUCUGCAUGGGUUCCAAUAUCCAGGCCCCAGCUGCCUCCUCUUUUCCUGCUUCCUUAGAAGGGGACCCUGGGUCCCAAAGCCCCUAUGCUGAGACCACUCCCGCUCCUCAGCACCAUCCCCUAACAGCACCGUCCCCUGACAGUGCCCCUGCCUGGGUCCUAAGGCACACAUUCAGUGGGUCCACAGAUAUUUACUGAAUCUUCAAUGUGUCCAAGAAUUGUCCUAAGAACUAGAGCAAUUUUAUUGGGAGUAGUUGGUUACCAAGUAGUUCACGGAUCUCAGACAUUCUGGUUGAAUGCACUCAUCACAGAAGAGAGGAGUGCAACAGUUUGCAAUAAAAUAGACCUCUCCUUUGCCAUCCAGGCACACACAAAGAAGAAACAGUGAACGGUCAGUAUUCCACCCAGAUUCAGGCAACACAUCCCAACCCAUGUGGUAUCCUCCCUGUGCCACAGGAACGGGGUAGGGUGGGAGUUCUCUGGCCACCUGCCUCCCGAGCUCUGUCCAUGGGAAUCCAAGCUGCCAGGGAGAACCAC
rnacentral:lncRNA from 1 species